rnacentral:rRNA from 1 species
ACGGAGGGUGCGAGCGUUGUUCGGAAUUACUGGGCGUAAAGCGCGUGCAGGCGGCCGACUAAGUCAGGUGUGAAAGCCCGGGGCUCACCUCCGGAAGUGCGCUUGAAACUGGUCGGCUAGAGUACGGGAGAGGGAAGCGGAAUUCCUGGUGUAGCGGUGAAAUGCGUAGAUAUCAGGAGGAACACCGGUGGCGAAGGCGGAUCUCUGGGCCGAUACUGACGCUGAGGAGCGAAAGCGUGGGGAGCGAACAGGA